rnacentral:misc_RNA from 1 species
CUAGCACGGACCUAAAGAAGCUUUUAAGUCAAUCCUAUAGCACAGUGAAUUUGAUUGCUAAUGGAAAACUAGAGCCGGUAGCCACAAUAUAAAAGGCUGAGAUUGGUGGAUGACAUAUUCAGUAUCUGAUAGAGGAUUUCUUGCUAAACGGCAAGGUAGAGUUGCCCCCAAGCUAUUGCAGAAAAAGUUUUUCCUGAUUCAGUUUUGCUACUAGCCCCUGAGAUGGCUUUUACAUAUUGCUGUCCCAGGAAAUCUCGACAAAAUUUGCCCUCUGGUUAGUUUUUUAACUGGAAAUUGGAUGGAUUCAAACGUAUUUUAUGAGUUGAUUAUUGUUUGUUUGUAUCUCCUUGCAGUGGG